UGGGGAAUAUUGGACAAUGGGCGAAAGCCUGAUCCAGCGACGCCGCGUGUGUGAAGAAGGCCUGCGGGUUGUAAAGCACUUUCGAUGGGAACGAAAUGUGCCGGGUUAAUACCCCGGUAAGCUGACGUUACUCAAAGAAUAAGCACCGGCUAACUUCGUGCCAGCAGCCGCGGUAAUACGAAGGGUGCAAGCGUUACUCGGAAUUACUGGGCGUAAAGCGUGCGUAGGUGGUCGUUUAAGUCCGUUGUGAAAGCCCUGGGCUCAACCUGGGAACUGCAGUGGAUACUGGACGACUAGAGUGUGGUAGAGGGUAGCGGAAUUCCUGGUGUAGCAGUGAAAUGCGUAGAGAUCAGGAGGAACAUCCAUGGCGAAGGCAGCUACCUGGACCAACGCUGACACUGAGGCACGAAAGCGUGGGGAGCAAACAGGAUUAGAUACCCACGUAGUCCCUGAGCGGGCUGGCAAGGCGCAU
rnacentral:rRNA from 1 species